CACGUAGGGCGCAAGCGUUGUCCGGAAUUACUGGGCGUAAAGCGCGUGUAGGCGGCCCUGCAAGUCGGAUGUGAAAUCCCACGGCUCAACCGUGGAAGUGCAUUCGAAACUGCAGGGCUAGAGUCCUGGAGAGGAAGGUGGAAUGCUUGGUGUAGAGGUGAAAUUCGUAGAUAUCAAGCGGAACACCGGUGGCGAAGGCGGCCUUCUGGACAGUGACUGACGCUGAGACGCGAAAGCGUGGGGAGCAAACGGG
rnacentral:rRNA from 1 species